CCCUAAUUAAAAGAUGUUUUUCAGGGAGCUUCAGCUUAACAGAGUGACUGCUUUGUCUUAAUUAUUUUCUCUCAGUGUAUAUUUAUGUGGGUGUUUGUCUCUCACUGGUCUGUACUCUGUGAGUGAAUUGUGCUAUCUGUAUUGCUAAUAAAAAGCCAGCUGUAGUUCCAAGAGAAAGGUGCGUGUUAAACUACAGGCCUGCUUGCCAAGCUUCUUACUUCAUCAGGUGUUAUUCUGUUCCAGUUUCAAGCCCUGUUCCUGAUUGCAUCUCCAGGAGAUGAGGGAGUGAUUGUUUGGAAAACUUAGGAAGGAAAAUAGGCUUAGUGGAAUGUGAGGUGAGCUGAAUCUGUGGGAGAGGUGUACAUACAACUGAGAAGCUGCUUAAGAUUCCCUGUGCAGAAACUUAAGAGGUACAAGAGGUACAAGGUACAACCGUGGGCUGCUCGUGAUCAAGCUUGAUGAAUAUAGAAAUAUUUAACUUUGUAAUCCAGCCAAAUCUCUGCCAUUCCUCACGGGCCAUGUUCCUAAAUUAAAGAUGCCAGGGUACUUGGUCACCUUUCUGACAGCACACUCAUAGGCUCCAGUGUCUUCAGGAACACAAGAGUAUGAAUGACUUCAUAUUCUCAUUCUUUUCGACAUUCUCACAUUCUUUUGGACAUUGGAGAAUAUCUACCGCUCCCAACUGCUGGAAUUUUAUGAUGUUUAUUUUUGUUUACUUGACAUUUAUACUGAAGACACCACAACAGCUUGUUUAUCAUUGUCCUGAAUACAGUUCAAGUAAAUGCCAGACCCCCUCUUCUCAAUAUCUGAUGUUCAAGCUUGAUUUUGAUGCUGUGAUUUUGUCACAUGAAAGCCAGACAAAAAGACACUGCAACUUUAUAUUUCAGGUGGAAAUUCCACAAUUGUCUUAAGGUGUUUUUUGGUUCCU